GACGAACGCUGGCGGCGUGCUUAACACAUGCAAGUCGAACGGAAAGGCCUCUUUCGGGGGGUACUCGAGUGGCGAACGGGUGAGUAACACGUGAGUAACCUGCCCUUGACUUUGGGAUAACUUCAGGAAACUGGGGCUAAUACCGGAUAGGAGCUCCUGCUGCAUGGUGGGGGUUGGAAAGUUUCGGCGGUUGGGGAUGGACUCGCGGCUUAUCAGCUUGUUGGUGGGGUAGUGGCUUACCAAGGCUUUGACGGGUAGCCGGCCUGAGAGGGUGACCGGCCACAUUGGGACUGAGAUACGGCCCAGACGCCUACGGGAGGCAGCAGUGGGGAAGAUUGCACAAUGGGUGGAAGCCUGAUGCAGCAACGCCGUGUGCGGGAUGACGGCCUUCGGGUUGUAAACCGCUUUCGCUCAUGACGAAGCUUUGUGUGACGGUAGUGGGUAAAGAAGCACCGGCUAACUACGUG
rnacentral:rRNA from 1 species